UGGGGAAUAUUGCACAAUGGGCGCAAGCCUGAUGCAGCCAUGCCGCGUGUAUGAAGAAUGCCUUCGGGUUGUAAAGUACUUUCAGUCGGGAGGAAGGUGGUAAGGUUAAUAACCUUAUCAAUUGACGUUACCGACAGAAGAAGCACCGGCUAACUCCGUGCCAGCAGCCGCGGUAAUACGGAGGGUGCAAGCGUUAAUCGGAAUUACUGGGCGUAAAGCGCACGCAGGCGGUUGAUUGAGUCAGAUGUGAAAUCCCCGGGCUUAACCCGGGAAUUGCAUCUGAUACUGGUCAGCUAGAGUCUUGUAGAGGGGGGUAGAAUUCCAUGUGUAGCGGUGAAAUGCGUAGAGAUGUGGAGGAAUACCGGUGGCGAAGGCGGCCCCCUGGACAAAGACUGACGCUCAGGUGCGAAAGCGUGGGGAGCAAACAGG
rnacentral:rRNA from 1 species